rnacentral:rRNA from 1 species
UGGGGAAUUUUGGACAAUGGGCGAAAGCCUGAUCCAGCAAUGCCGCGUGUGUGAAGAAGGCCUUCGGGUUGUAAAGCACUUUUGUCCGGAAAGAAAUCCUUGGCUCUAAUACAGUCGGGGGAUGACGGUACCGGAAGAAUAAGCACCGGCUAACUACGUGCCAGCAGCCGCGGUAAUACGUAGGGUGCAAGCGUUAAUCGGAAUUACUGGGCGUAAAGCGUGCGCAGGCGGUUUGCUAAGACCGAUGUGAAAUCCCCGGGCUCAACCUGGGAACUGCAUUGGUGACUGGCAGGCUAGAGUAUGGCAGAGGGGGGUAGAAUUCCACGUGUAGCAGUGAAAUGCGUAGAGAUGUGGAGGAAUACCGAUGGCGAAGGCAGCCCCCUGGGCCAAUACUGACGCUCAUGCACGAAAGCGUGGGGAGCAAACAGGAUUAGAUACCCCUGGUAGUCCACGCCCUAAACGAUGUCAACUAGUUGUUGGGGAUUCAUUUCCUUAGUAACGUAGCUAACGCGUGAAGUUGACCGCCUGGGGAGUACGGUCGCAAGAUUAAAACUUCAAAUGAAUUGACGGGGUCAUAGCUGUUUCCU